rnacentral:rRNA from 1 species
UACGUAGGGGGCAAGCGUUGUCCGGAAUUAUUGGGCGUAAAGAGCGCGUAGGCGGUCCGAUAAGUCGGCUGUGAAAGUCCAGGGCUCAACCCUGGAAAGCCGGCCGAUACUGUCGGACUAGAGUCCGGAAGAGGCAAGUGGAAUUCCCGGUGUAGCGGUGAAAUGCGCAGAUAUCGGGAGGAACACCGGUGGCGAAGGCGGGUCUCUGGGCCGAUACUGACGCUGAGGAGCGAAAGCGUGGGGAGCGAACAGG